CAUUGCAUUCUACAUGCACCAUCGACGCUAACGUAUCCUUGAUUACAUGGAACUUCGAUUAUUCUUCGCGAUUGAUGUGGUUGAAGACAUGGAACAUACCAAUAAAAGCGAUCGUUUUCGUUGGUAUAAAGAAUAUCGCAAGGCGUGGUAGGUGUUAAUUCAACAUUUUCAUCAUCAGAUUCUGUUAGUUCUACGUCUGCGAACACUACACCACCAUACACGAUCAAUACAAUUAAAAUUCUUCUUAAAAACAUUUUUAGAUGUGAUGAAAUAAUAACAUUAAAGACCAAACUGUGACAAUAAUACCCAUAACAUAUCCUUGUGAGCAACCAACAUUGAUUAUAUUCAAUUUUGAAACGUUGGUAAAUUGUGACUCGCCAUUUCCGCUUGGUAAUAUAACCGUUUGAUUCUUUGAUUGAUUAUUAUUGGAGUUUAUGUGGCAACAAGAGCAACAAGCACAACAAAAUCCACCGUUAUAAGGACAAAAUCGCUUUCCGAAACGUUGGUAAUAUCUUGAAUAUCCUAAAACUAUUAUCACCGAUAAGAUUAAAAAUACGUUUGCCAAUCGCAUGUUGUCUUCGUCGUGUUAAAUACCGAACUGGGUAAUUCCCAAUUAUCAUUUAAAAUGUUAUUUAUCAUUAUUCAAGGAUAAAGGUUCAAAUUAUGUUAUUAAUUAAAAAAUUUUUUUAAGUUAAAGUGCGAUUUACAACGCAAUAUAAAUCUGUUGAUAAGUUCUUAUCAACAAUUUCUUGUUUUUAUUAAACGAGAAACCACAUAAAGUUGAUAAGUUGUCGCUGAAAACAGUUAUGAUUUGAAAUAUAUAAAAGGAUGAAGUUCCUAAAUUAUAAUAUUAUUUUCGUUUUAUUUUUCAUUACAAUUUUCGUUAAUUCGGAAGAAGUAGAUCCUGAAGUCGUCGAUGUAACAACGAUGCCAAAACCUAGUCCAAGAAGACUGUCUAAAAUUGUGAUGGUACCAUGUCAAGAUGGUUUUAUACCAACAAAUGGGCGAUGCGUAAGGGAAUUUAAACGUUAAAAUCCAAACAAUGCAUUAAUUAAAAUCUGUAUUUUGUUAAGUUGAAAUAAAUCUUAUUUAGUUUUCUUAUAA